GUUAAAAGGGAAACGAAUGGGGUUAGCAAUGCGUCGUGCGAGAUUCAGCCGGUGGGUGGGCCAGGCGGGCGGUUGGCGGAUCUGAAUGGACCGCUGCCGUUCGGGUUGGUUUCCCGACCGUCGCACUUCUCGCAGGCGCGCGCCAACGUCGGUUAGGGCUGGGUCUCAAAGGCGGUGGAAAGGUAGGUUUGGACUCUCGGGCCCGAACUGUUACAGUCCUCCGUUUGUCAUGGCCCGGACCUGACCGAGGAGCUUGCGGUGCAUGCCGUUCGGCUAGGGUCCCGUCUUCCCGGUCGGUCGUCGAAUGCGGUGGACUGCGUGCAGUGCGCCGCGACUGCUGCCGGUCGCGAGGGCGGUGAUUUCGUACUAUGCACCCACGACGUUGGCGGUCAUAUGGCCUCAUCCGACCCGUCUUGAAACACGGACCAAGGAGUCUAACAUGUGUGCGAGUCUUUGAGUGACCGAAACUCCGAGGCGUAAUGAAAGUGAAGGCGACUUCGGUCGCUGAGGUGAGAGCCUUUUUCCAAAAAAAGAAGGCGCAUCAUUGACCGACCUAUUCUACUCUUAGAAAUAUUUGAGUAAGAGCGCAUCUGUUGGGACCCGAAAGAUGGUGAACUAUGCCUGAAUAGGGUGAAGCCAGAGGAAACUCUGGUGGAGGCUCGUAGCGAUUCUGACGUGCAAAUCGAUCGUCAAAUUUGGGUAUAGGGGCGAAAGACUAAUCGAACUGUCUAGUAGCUGGUUCCCUCCGAAGUUUCCCUCAGGAUAGCUGGAACUUACGGAAGUUUUAUCAGGUAAAGCGAAUGAUUAGAGGUCUUAGGGUUAAAACAACCUUAACCUAUUCUCAAACUUUAAAUUGGUAAGAAGUCCGACUUGCUUAAUUGAAGCCGGACAGUGAAUGCGAGUUCCUAGUGGGCCAUUUUUGGUAAGCAGAACUGGCGAUGCGGGAUGAACCGAACGCGCGGUUAAGGUGCCAAAGUCGACGCUCAUCAGACCCCACAAAAGUUGUUGGUUGCUCUAGACAGCAGGACGGUGGCCAUGGAAGUUGGAAUCCGCUAAGGAGUGUGUAACAACUCACCUGCCGAAGCAACUAGCCCUGAAAAUGGAUGGCGCUCAAGCGUCGCACCUAUACCGUGCCGUCGGAGCAGAUGCAAAGCUCCGACGAGUAGGAGGGCGUGGGGGUCGUGACGCAGCCUCUGGCGCGAGCCUGGGUGAAACGGCCUCCAGUGCAGAUCUUGGUGGUAGUAGCAAAUAUUCAAAUGAGAGCUUGAAGACCGAAGUGGAGAAAGGUUCCAUGUGAACAGCAGUGG
rnacentral:ncRNA from 1 species